rnacentral:rRNA from 1 species
UACGGGGGGGGCAAGCGUUGUUCGGAAUUACUGGGCGUAAAGGGCUCGUAGGCGGCCAACUAAGUCCGACGUGAAAUCCCCAGGCUUAACCUGGGAACUGCGUCUGAUACUGGAUGGCUUGAAUUCGGGAGAGGGAUGCAGAAUUCCAGGUGUAGCGGUGAAAUGCGUAGAUAUCUGGAGGAAUACCGGUGGCGAAGGCGGCAUCCUGGACCGACAUUGACGCUGAGGAGCGAAAGCUAGGGGAGCAAACGGG